AGGGCAUAAUGUAGUUUGGUAAUGUAUUAUCUUAGGAUGAUGGAGAUCGCGGGUUCAAACCCCGCUGCUCCAA
rnacentral:tRNA from 1 species